rnacentral:rRNA from 1 species
AUGAACGCUAGCUACAGGCUUAACACAUGCAAGUCGAGGGGCAGCAUGAACUUAGCUUGCUAAGUUUGAUGGCGACCGGCGCACGGGUGAGUAACACGUAUCCAACCUGCCGAUGACUCGGGGAUAGCCUUUCGAAAGAAAGAUUAAUACCCGAUGGCAUAGUUCUUCCGCAUGGUAGAACUAUUAAAGAAUUUCGGUCAUCGAUGGGGAUGCGUUCCAUUAGGUUGUUGGCGGGGUAACGGCCCACCAAGCCUUCGAUGGAUAGGGGUUCUGAGAGGAAGGUCCCCCACAUUGGAACUGAGACACGGUCCAAACUCCUACGGGAGGCAGCAGUGAGGAAUAUUGGUCAAUGGACGAGAGUCUGAACCAGCCAAGUAGCGUGAAGGAUGACUGCCCUAUGGGUUGUAAACUUCUUUUAUACGGGAAUAAAGUGAGGCACGUGUGCCUUUUUGUAUGUACCGUAUGAAUAAGGAUCGGCUAACUCCGUGCCAGCAGCCGCGGUAAUACGGAGGAUCCGAGCGUUAUCCGGAUUUAUUGGGUUUAAAGGGAGCGUAGGCGGACGCUUAAGUCAGUUGUGAAAGUUUGCGGCUCAACCGUAAAAUUGCAGUUGAUACUGGGUGUCUUGAGUACAGUAGAGGCAGGCGGAAUUCGUGGUGUAGCGGUGAAAUGCUUAGAUAUCACGAAGAACUCCGAUUGCGAAGGCAGCCUGCUGGACUGUAACUGACGCUGAUGCUCGAAAGUGUGGGUAUCAAACAGGAUUAGAUACCCUGGUAGUCCACACAGUAAACGAUGAAUACUCGCUGUUUGCGAUAUACAGUAAGCGGCCAAGCGAAAGCGUUAAGUAUUCCACCUGGGGAGUACGCCGGCAACGGUGAAACUCAAAGGAAUUGACGGGGGCCCGCACAAGCAGUGGAGUAUGUGGUUUAAUUCGAAGCAACGCGAAGAACCUUACCAGGUCUUGACAUCCGAUGCAUAGCACAGAGAUGUGUGAAAUCCUUCGGGACAUCGAGACAGGUGGUGCAUGGUUGUCGUCAGCUCGUGUCGUGAGAUGUUAGGUUAAGUCCUGCAACGAGCGCAACCCCUGUGAUUAGUUGCCAACAGGUUAAGCUGGGGACUCUGUCGAGACUGCCGUCGUAAGAUGUGAGGAAGGUGGGGAUGACGUCAAAUCAGCACGGCCCUUACGUCCGGGGCUACACACGUGUUACAAUGGGGGGUACAGAAGGCAGCUACACGGCGACGUGAUGCUAAUCCCGAAAGCCUCUCUCAGUUCGGAUUGGAGUCUGCAACCCGACUCCAUGAAGCUGGAUUCGCUAGUAAUCGCGCAUCAGCCACGGCGCGGUGAAUACGUUCCCGGGCCUUGUACACACCGCCCGUCAAGCCAUGAAAGCCGGGGGUACCUGAAGUGCGUAACCGCAAGGAGCGCCCUAGGGUAAAACUGGUGAUUGGGGCU